UAAUACGAGGGGUGCUAGCGUUGUCCGGAAUCAUUGGGCGUAAAGGGUCCGUAGGUGUCUUUGCAAGUCGUUUGUUACAUCCACCGGCUUAACCGGUGGCCUGCAAUCGAAACUGCAAGGAUAGAGUUCGAGAGAGGAAAGUGGAAUUCCUGGUGUAGCGGUGACAUGCGUAGAUAUCAGGAGGAACACCAAUGGCGAAGGCAGCUUUCUGGCUCGAUACUGACACUGAGGGACGAAAGCGUGGGGAGCGAACAGGAUUAGAUACCCUGGUAGUCCACGCCGUAAACGAUGAGUACUUGAUGUCGGAGGAUUCGACCCCUUCGGUAUCGUAGCUAACGCGUUAAGUACUCCGCCUGGGGACUACGGCCGCAAGGCUG
rnacentral:rRNA from 1 species